UGAUUAGUUUUGGAGUACGUAUCAGAAGUGCGUUUGCAUAAAAAUUCAAUACUUGUAAAUGCACUAUCUGGUACGACACUCCAGAGCAAACGUUCUU
rnacentral:pre_miRNA from 1 species